rnacentral:tRNA from 1 species
GCGCGCUUAGCUUAGUGGAAGAGCGCUUCCUUCACACGGAAGAGGUCGGAGGUUCAAAUCCUCCAGCGCGCACCA